rnacentral:rRNA from 1 species
GAUGAACGCUGGCGGCGUGCCUAAUACAUGCAAGUCGAGCGAACGGACGAGAAGCUUGCUUCUCUGAUGUUAGCGGCGGACGGGUGAGUAACACGUGGAUAACCUACCUAUAAGACUGGGAUAACUUCGGGAAACCGGAGCUAAUACCGGAUAAUAUUUUGAACCGCAUGGUUCAAAAGUGAAAGACGGUCUUGCUGUCACUUAUAGAUGGAUCCGCGCUGCAUUAGCUAGUUGGUAAGGUAACGGCUUACCAAGGCAACGAUGCAUAGCCGACCUGAGAGGGUGAUCAACCACCCUGGAACUGAGACACGGUCCAGACUCCUACGGGAGGCAGCAGUAGGGAAUCUUCCGCAAUGGGCGAAAGCCUGACGGAGCAACGCCGCGUGAGUGAUGAAGGUCUUCGGAUCGUAAAACUCUGUUAUUAGGGAAGAACAUAUGUGUAAGUAACUGUGCACAUCUUGACGGUACCUAAUCAGAAAGCCACGGCUAACUACGUG